AGUCAACAUUUGUGCCAAGUUUCAUCAGUAUUGAAGUAUUUUUCAUUGUUUCAUUUCAGUUUAAACAUGAAACAGGAGGCUUUUCAAAGAAAACGGCAAUUUUUCACAAUAUGCACAUGCAAUAAAAGGUAGUGCACUGCAAGAAGUAGAUAAAUAAAUCGUGAUGACGGACACAAGAGUAUCUGGGUAUAUAAGUGUUGAAGUGAUGUUAGAUCAGUUUGAAUGCAAACAUACCGGUUUCUUAUCAAUAGAAUGGAAAAUGCUAGGUAUGAGCAAAUGUAAGUUUAACAAUAUGCAUUUUCUCUCAUAUAUUACCGUAAAAGGCAAUUUAAAAUUCAAUUAGUUGUCAAAGAAAUUGAAUAUAGAAACAUUCACUAUAAUAUUCGGUUUGAUUACCAAAUUGUUUACUGUGAACAUUACAACUGCUGAAAAUGACCCACAAUUAUACUUAUUUUCUUUCUUUUCAUUUCAUCUUUAGCUUGGAUAUCUAAUUUUCCUUAUCAUAUAAAACUAUAUGGCGUAACCGUUUGUCUAAUUAUGUAAUCGGAGUAACUGAUAUGUUUGUAAUGCCACAUUGGCAGUUUAAGAACAUCUUAAAACGAUAUAUAAACACUGAAAGAGUAAUAGCCAAAAUAAUUUUAAAUCAAUCUUCACUGUGUUUGACAGGGAUUUUGAAAUAUUUCAUCAUCUCAAAAGGAGGAAAAUAAGGCUGCGUAUGGAACUUUUUUUGCUUUGAUAAUGAUUUUGCAAGUAAGCAAGAGUGGUCAAUAUCGAUGAGAGAAGUAGAAAAGUAAAAGAUCAUAGUCAAUGGCUAAUAAAAAAAGUUUUAUAUCACAUGGCCUUAAUUUAUAUAAAUAUUACAUUUUUACUAUUUUACUUAUUCAGAAACAAUAAUAAAGUUUGAAACGAUAAGUAAGGCAUAUUUUUGGACAGUUAUCAAAGGCGAUAAAAUGAAUAUUUUACAUGCUACAUUGUAUGCAUUGAUGAGAUAAUUGAUGGAUGACACUGAUAAUUGAAGUUAAGCGCCUCUAAAGUAUUAUUUUAUAAUGAUACAUAAUAGGGUUUUAGCAAAAAAUUAACGCUUAAUUGCUCAUUUGAAAUAUUAUAGAGACUCAAAGUAAGUUAAAAACAAAAGUCAAUAUAACCCGGGGCUGGUUCUAAAUUGACUUGAGAAAAUUUAAUCAAAUGUUUAUUAUGGUUGGGUUUUAAGUCACACCGACACUAUUACGGCCAUAUGGCGGCUGUAGUGUUUUAUAAAUUAUUUCAGGCAUGAGCUGUGGGCAUCUGGGCAGAACCUAAGCUUAAUUGACAGGAAUAUUUAGUUAUCAAUGCUAAACCCAAAAUAUCUAUAUUCUUGCGGUGAUUGAAAGUUUGUUUUGAGAUUUGUUUUAUAUGUAUCUGACCCCAACACCAGUGUUAUGAUUCAUAUAGUAUUGUGUAGACGCAGACUAGAUAGACACUGUUGCACACCAAAUAUCUAAUUUCUCUAUUUUGAUUUAGAAGAACAAUAUUUUAAAAGUUUUCCCAAAGCUAUUACUUUUUUUUGUAUAUAUGUUUUCUCCCAUGGACAAUCUCAAUCAAACCAAGUCUGAUUUUCCAUUGUUUCCGAGGACUCUUCCUUUCCGUGAUUUAUUUUUCUUUUCGGCACGUUGAACAUAUAUUUACUUUUAUAUUCAGUAUGUCCCUUGUUUGUCGUAUCUUAUUAAUAUAGUUUUAGGAUUCAGGUAUUCUUUAUGUUUAACAAAAUAUUUACAUUUAUUAUAUAUCAUGUUUAAUUUCGGCCAUUGGCUUAUAAUGUUUUUCAGCAUCUUGGAAUACAACAAGGGCAUUGUUGGGAUAAAAAUAAUAUUCAGUAAUCACAUGAAACCGAAGGAGUGAGACAUAAAAAAAGGAUUGGAGCACCACACUAUAUACCGUAUUCCGGUAUAUACCGGGCAAGGCGUUUGAAUCAUAAAAUGCUAAAAUCUUGCCUUUUUUACCCAACGGAAUGAACUGAAAUAGGUCUA